CCAUGGCCACCAGCAGCAUGUAGAAGACGCCCGCCAUGUUGUCGAUGUCCAGCUUGCUGCUCAUCACCUGAACGGCGCCGACACACGGGAAGGAGACGCCGAUGUUCACUACUAAGCCACAACUGGACACAAGUGCAAGUACACUGAGUGGCCGAGACUUCCCGAUCGACAAGCGGAUCAAAGUCUCGGCUCAGACGCGUGAUGUUGACGAUGAUGAUUGUGUGAGGACGUAGGGAAGAGCUACAUGAGCGCUAGCGCAUCUGCUUCCCAUUCAACAUCCUUCCUGUUCACACUCGCCAGCUGCGAAGUGCCCGCCGAGUCUUCCGGGAGGAAACCGCUCACGGAUGAAAAAUGGAAAGCAUGACGUGGAGGAUGAUGAUGCAGUGGUUCACUCGCCUGACUUUGCUGCAGAAACGUUGUCGAUGGCCUCCUCCACGCCCUUCUGGUUGUUGCGGAUCAUGUACUGGUGCAUGUUGGGAUAGUUGGAGCGGAUGUUCUCCUCCGUGCUGCCGUUGGGCACCGUACCAAAGCGCAGGGGUGGGUACUGCUCGGUGGGCUGCUGGAACUACGCCGAAGGGGGCGACAGACCAGGACACAGUUCCAUAUGACGUGGUGAAAAGGCCUGAGAAACUGAAAUGGGAAAUUCCACAAGCUUCAUGAAUAUGCAUGCCUUCAAGAACACAAAAACCAAUCUUGACUCUACCUUCUUGUCGGAGAGUCCCGACACGGUGUCGAUGUACUCCUCCUGGAUCAUGAAGGCGGCCAGGUUGGCGGUGUACGACGCCAAGAAGAUUACGGCGAAGAAGGCCCACACCAGAACCUGCGGAGAAAGACCCGGACAAACUAGCGGCCAUGUGGGAGGCGGGAACUUUAUUUCCACAAAUGGGAGGACAAUAACUCAUCAGACUCCGGACGAGCGAGACGGCUCUGUGACAUCAUCACAAACUACUAGUAAAAGAUUUCUCGGAAAAGGGAGAACGUGAGGAUGCACAGCAGGUAACCGAUCAGGCUCACGUAGAGCCACGCCACGAAGAGCAACAUCACAUAGAGCAGGUUCAUUGUUACGUUGAGUCACGUGACAUCGAGCGGGCUCGCACAUGUGGAGUCGGUCGUGGCGUGAGGUCCAUCCAGAGAUAUGACAUCACACCGUAACACAGCUGACAUAGUGCAGUGUUACAUAGAGCUGCAUAGAGCGAUGUCACAUAGAGUGGGGGCACGUCUAUCUAUUGUCGAUACUGCGUAUUAGCGAGCCUAAUGAGCUCAUCCCAGAUGACUUCUAUGUAUCACCGACUGAAAAAUGUCUUAAAAUGCCUCAUAGGAAAGUAGUAAUUGCUCCUUUUACAGGAUGGCCAGAACUCUGCAUGUGAGAAAAAAAGUUGCCUGCUCUGACCUGCUUUUUUGUCAAGCGAGCGGCUGAUGAGCUCUCCGCCUGAUUGGUGGAAAGCUCUCAAGCAAAUGAGAUGAGCUCGUCCCGUCCCGCUGGGCCUCGUCAACACUUGGCGCCGUCACGCCGCUUUCGUCGAGAAAGUUGCAACUUGGCCACGCUAACGAGACCCACUCGAGAUCACGCUGUUUCGCGUUCCAGUUGUCGUCGCAGAAAAGCUCGUGCACAGAGUUGUUGAAGACCAGCGCCCACAGAAGCCAAACCGACUUGCCGAUCGUGAACUUGGAGCCGCCCGACUCUGAGACAAAACAGGGAACAGCGCUCCUAAGAAAGACUCCCCUCGUUGAGCACGCCGCCAUGAUGACGGUUGGGAGAUGCGAGGACUCCACCUCCUAACCCGCAGCCCACGGGACACACUGCGCCCGCCCGCGGAUUACAACAUGGAGGAACAUGAAAGCCGCUAUUGAGCUCAUGAUUACAAGCGAUGCUGUGGCUUCAGAAAGGAACAUGGACAAUCAGUCAUGCCAGCGAAAACAACUCCGGAUCAACCUCA